rnacentral:rRNA from 1 species
GACAGAGGGGGCAAGCGUUGCUCGGAAUUACUGGGCGUAAAGGGCGCGUAGGCGGAAUGGCAAGUCGGUCGUGAAAUCCUUCGGCUCAACCGAAGAACGUCGAUCGAAACUGCCGUUCUUGAGGAUUGCAGAGGAGACUGGAAUUCCCGGUGUAGCGGUGAAAUGCGCAGAUAUCAGGAAGAACACCCGUGGCGAAGGCGGCUCUCUGGGACGGUACUGACGCUGAGACGCGAAAGCGUGGGGAGCGAAC